GAGACCUUUGUUCACUUGUUUAUCUGCUGACCUUCCCUCCACUAUUGUCCCAUGACCCUGCCAAAUCCCCCUCUCUGAGAAACACCCAAGAUUUAUCAAUAAAAAAAUAAAUUUAAAACAAAAAAACAAAAAAACAAAAAAACAGGGAUGUGAGCCAAUAUCUUUAAGUAAAAACAGUCACAUGGAACUUUUGCAAAACACGCCUACAACACACACCUGUGUCCACCAACCUACCCAGGAUUCUGACUUCCUGAGAUAUUACCAUGUUUUCCUUGGGAUUAUCUUGGAAUAAAUAUAAAGGCCAAUUAAUAUACUGGUGCUAUAAGCAUAUUAUAUCUUCAUUUUUCCGAUGAAGGCUACCUGGUUGGCUCUUGGAGAGGUGAUCUAAUCUAUAGUCUCACUCCCUAAUCUAAGUUCACUUUCAGGUCAGAUGUCCCCAGUUUGUUUCUGAUUCAAUGAUCUCAUCUCCUUCAAGGGAGCUACUCAUCCUUCAAAGGACUGCUAUUAAAAAAUCACGCUGGCGACUUACCUUACCUACUCCAGAGGAAAUUUUCCAGCUCUGAAUUCCUGCAUAUCAUAACAACGGCUAGCCUGGCUGACCUGACUACAGAGUGUGCUGUGACCUCUGCUCACCAAGAACCCUGUUGUCUUCUUUUUUCUGGAUCCACAGUGAAGCUCCAUUCUCAGCCUCCCUUGAGGUCAUGUGUGACCCUGUAGCCGAGUUCUAGUCAAUGGACUGUAAGUUGAAGUGCUAUGUGCCCCUUUCAGGCCAUGUUCAAAAAUAUGCCGCAUAUGUUCCCUCCUUCUUCCACAUGUCUGGAUGUCUGGGAUGAAGGAAACCCCUGGGAUGACCUUAGAAGUUACAGGUUGAGUCCCUGAAUGACUACCUGGAGCUUAAUAAAAAAUAUGGCAGCUUAUUUUCCAAGACGACUGCCAUCAGUUCCUUUCUUACCUAUGGGAACAUGCCAUUCCCCAUCAGAAUAUGGAGUCUACUCCUCCCCUCCCUUUAAAUUUAAGCUGACCUCAUUGACCUGACUGUUCAAUAAAUAAAGUACCAUCGUGAUGCUACCUUAAAACUCCCAUCUAGGCUUCCUGGAACCUAGGCACUCUACUGUUCGGAAGUCUAAGGAGCCCUGUUAAGAGGCUCCCGAAAACCAGUAUCAACUUGCUCACCCCCAUGGGUAAAUUGUCCUGGAAGGACAUCCUCCAGUCCCAGUUGAGCUUCCUCAUCUGAGAUCAUGCAGAGCAGAGAAGAACUGUGCAAUAGAGCCUUUUCUGAAUACUAAAUCCACAAAAUUCUGAAAUAUCAUAAAACUAAGUAUUAUUUUGAGCUGCUAAGUUUGGGGUAACUUAUUAUGUAUUGGUAGAAAACUGAAACACUACCUUACCUCCAUCCUAAGACCACUCUGGAAUGUAUAUGUGUUUAAGAAAGUAUCUAUUAUUUUGAGCCUAGAUAUUUAGGUGUAAUUGCCAUUACAGAAAGAGGGAGAGGUAUGCAUUUCUUUUCUAGUACAAGUAUUGUGAGAAGAGAAAAAUGGACAGAGUGAGAAGAAACAGUGAGAUGCAAACUAUUCCUGCCUUUCCUCUCUGGAUUGAAAGUUCAAGAAGUGAUGAAAAGCAUUUGAAAUACACUGAGGAAAACAAGAGGGCAGGAGAGCUUCUGCCAAACUUCACAUUAGGAUCUGAGAGGAAAUCCCCUUGUAGACUAUCUAUUGCAAUCUUGGGGUGCAGCGUAGUAUUGCCUGUAAGAAGAGGGUUUGCACACACACACCACAGCAUUGAGUCAUAAGUGGAAUUUAUAGAGCCCUGGAGUUCUCCUCUGUCCUUGGAGUAGGGUGGCACACAGUUGGCUGAGAGUUGGGAUGAAGAACUUUGGCUGGAGUGGCCCUGGUGGGGCAAAGGGUUGAUAAUGUCAUGAGCUGGAGAGUUGACAAGGACAAAUUUGGAGUGAUAACCAUAUCCAUAAAGCAAGUAAGAGGAGCCACAUCUUGAUAGAGUGUGGCUAGGCCCUGUCAAGCUGAGGAACCAGCCCACAAGUUACACAAGCAUCAGACCCCAACAGCAGACACCAAGACUAUGCAGGGAAAUGAGGCCAGGACUAGUUAGGCAACAUUUGUCUCCACUCCAGACAUAGCACAAAGCAAUCGGGGACCCAGGCUCCCCUCCACCACCACAAGGUUGCUGGAGCCACACUUCCCUCUCUGUCCCAACACUGUCCUUAAGAGGAGCAGAAGAGAGGUCAGAAAAAAAAAGUCAAUGCUUUCAUCCAAAUGAGAUUGAGAAUUUGUCUAAAGAGACUUUAAGUUAUUUGAUCUGAAAACACUGAAUUGGGCUGUGCAUUGUGGGGACUUAGGGAGGAAAUCAGAUCCGUUAAAGGAAAAAAUAAAGAGAGCCCAUUUUUCUUCCUACACAUUGGAGUGUAGUUCGAGUGUAUUUGUGACCCCACUGAACUAUUAGGUUGGUGCAAAAGGAAUUGUGAUUUUUGCCAUUAAGAAAUCGCAAUUACUUUUGCACCAACCUAAUAUAUAGUCAUUUUUACUUUCUAAAUAAGUAAAUCAAACCAUGAACAUCAGAAUUAUAUGCAUGACACAGCAGACAUUAAACCUUUAUUCAAGCUCAGGUCAGUGAGUUUUCUGUAGACUCUGCUGCCUCCUAUCCCAUAUUCUAUAUUUAUUAUCAUGCUUGUGACUUAUACCUCAGAUGUAAACCUUGAACUUAGUUUUGAGAUCUAGCUAUAACUGUAAUAGGGGAGGGAGAUAAAGAGUAAAUGGUGCUUUCAAAGGAUUUAACACACACACACACACACACACACACACACACACAGAGUCACAUAAAUCUGAACAGCAAAUAUUUUCUAUGUAUUUACACACACAGAGGCAAACCCUGCAGAGUACAUGUGUGCGGGUGCAUUAGAUGUAUCAUUAGAUGUAAAGAAUUUAUUUUGCAUACCUGUCCUGUGGAAUGAUGGGUACCUGGAGAUUUUUGUUAGGCCUAGGGUACUUGUUGUCCCUGUGCUUUAUGGAGGAAUGUCUGAAGAGGAUUGUGAUUUGUUUGCCAAAUACUCACCUGGCGUCCACCACUUCUAGGAGGAAGUGAAGGGCUCUACACUGCUUUGCCCUUGCUGGGACACCUUUGGGGAAUCUGAAAGCUCAUGCUGAGCUAAAAGAGCAUUUUAGCUUAAAUACAGGAUCUAUGAUUUGCCUAUGAGACUAACGAAUGAGUGUUAAAUAGCUGUUAAAAGUGUGAUAUCUUGCAGUAUCAUGUAGAUUAGUUUCCCCGUCUAACUUUAUAGGACUUGUUGACAUUCUGUCUAAAAAUUAUAUGGUGCUGGUGGGCUCAACAGUGUAAGAGUGAUUCUGUUUAUGUGGGGCUAAAACAAAGAGGGUUCCAGCAGUUCUUGGCUGUAUAUGAGAAAGUGAUAACAGUAGCAACCCUCAGAAGAUUUGGCUAUAGGGAAGCACUAUUGCCAACCAUUAAUUGAAGGAGCCCACACGGAGGGGAGCAGUGAUCACAGGUGCUGUAAGGGGGCACCAGUGAAGUGACUAAAGAGAAUCACAGAAAGGCAACCCCUACAGAGGAUUCUUCCCUACAGUUCUCUUUCAGAGUGAGUUACUCUUAAUAAAAAGAAAGUUGGGCCAGGCAUGUUGGCUCACACCUGUAAUCCCAACACUUUGGGAGGCCCAGGCGGGUGGAUCACCUGAGGUCCAGAGUUCGAGACAAGCCUGGCCAACAUGGUGAAACCCUGUCUCUACUAAAAAUACAAACAUUACCCAGGCGUGGUGGUGGAUGCCUGUAAUCCCAGCUACUCAGGAGGCUGAGGCAGGAGAAUCACUUGAACCUGGGAGAUGGAGGUUGCAGUGAGCGAAGAUAGUGCCACUGCACUCCAGCCUGGGCAACAGAGCAAGACUCCAUCUAAAAAAAAAAAAAAUCAAUCCACUUUUUCUACUUAACAUAAGUAUGGGGGAAAAGGGGAAAUUUCUUAUCAAAAAAAAUAGUGGACAUAGACGCUUAGAAACUCCAAACUGAAGUUUCUGUCAACACAGAGACUCUGCCCACAGCUUCACAGACUUAGGAGUUGAACUUAAGGAAAGAGUGUUACAGAAAUAUAAGGGGAUGAGCAGUAAAUGACUGCUCUCACAAUCUUAUAUUAAAAUCAGCAGAACUUCAGUUGAUAGUCCUUUUCUUCUCCAUUUGAGGUACACACUGGAAAACUGUUGAGUUUGAAGGCCUUAUUUUGAACAAAUUGCUUGCAUCUGUGAAAAGAUUUUGUAACAUUAUCACUCCUGGGAGAAGCAGACACCCAAUCUUUUAAGAAGCCCCAACAAUCAUGAAAAAAGAGACCAGGAUAUAAGGGAGGCAUGUUUAGGUGAUCGGUUGGGUCUUGCUGUAUUUCUUAGGUUUAAAAAGGUAUGAAAUUCAUCUGCUAGAAGUACUCUCUGUGUCUCUGAUCUUUGUUCUUAGAUAUAACCAUAACUCUUCAGUUACACUGAAUUGCUGCUCUCUCAUUUAUUCAUUUUGCUAUUCUUUCCCAUAAACAUUUUAAAUGUUAAGUCAGUCAGGCCCCCAAAUUCGUCUUGUCAGAUACAUGUUUUUCCAAUGCUAAUUCACUUAUAACUCUAAGAAGAUGGCAUCUCCAUACUAAGCACAAAUGUACUUUUGUUACUUGAUAUAGGCAGGCAAACCACUUGGCAAAUCUGUCUCAAUUUUUCUUCGUAUUUAAUAUUUUUUGAUCCAGUAGAUCAGUUUUAGAAUGACGACUUGACUUAAGAAGGGAUCUAGGAACAAAAGCAAAGUUACUUUUGGAGUGUUUUAAUCUCACAGUAAGCAAAGAAUCAAAAUCAGAUCUGAAAGAUUUCUUUAUUUCUAUUUCAGCAGCUCUUUUAUCAAACAAAUCCCUAUCCAUAUUUUUUACAAAGAAUAAAGAAAUUGGAAACAGCAGCUCUUUUGGAGUAUGAUGCUGGGAUUUAUUGAGUGGCUGGAUUCUAUGAUUAUAUUGGUUCUUAAGCUCCAGAGGACAGUGACCUUCAGAGUCCGUUGCCGAAGGCAAAUGUUCUCUAGAAGGGUCCUUUAAAAAAAGAGCAAGUAAGCAGAUUCAAUCAUUUUUUAUGCAACUUCCUUUUGACCUUUCCCUUGGCAAACACAUCAGCAAAUUACAUGUAGAAUGGAAAUGUGCUUGAUCUGGUCAAAUGACUUCUAUUGAUAUUUUACUCCUCAAUGUUUAAGGGAGAAAUUGAGAGCAUUGCUUAUUUAUUCUGAUUACAUAUGGUAACAAGACUGUAUAAUAUGGUCGUACUAUAGAGAAGGACAGGUUUGAUAACUAACUAGAAAGGCAAUUUUAGGAUCCAUUGAAAACAAAAAGGGGCUUUCUGGCCCAGACAGGGAAGUAGAAGGAAAAAUAGAGAGCAAAAAUAUGGAGAGUGAUUGCAAAAAGACUUGUUUUCUUGCACUCUGGGAACUUUACAGACUUUGAUCUUUCAUGGGACAUAGACUACGUAGGCAAGAGCAAUCUAUCCCUUCCUAAAAGCUAAAAAAUGAAGCUACCACUGGAUUAAACUGACAAGACAGGAGAAAGGACCAGACCAGUGAAGAAAAGAAAGCUGACAAAACGGGAGCUUAAAGGAGAUUCCCAGCCACUUCUAAGACUUAACGAAUGCAGUUUGAUCUUAGGAAACUAAGGUCAUGUGCUUGUUUGAAAAAACAAAGUAAAUACCUUCAAGAAGAGUGAAUACAUUUUACAGACAGAUUUCUCAGGAAUUCCCAGUGUCUGUAUGUAAACCUGUCCGUGAGUGUGGAUAUAUCAAAAAGAGAUGGAUGACUAAUGAGAAUACGUACAUCAAAAAAGAGAUUAAUGACAGAAAUAGUCAACAAAGCAAAAUUUUAAAUAAAUUUAUUUGCUGCAAAAUUUAUUGUUUCCCUAUUAUUUGCUCAUUAAAAACACUUGGGACUCAAAACAAAUUUGCUCUUUCAGGUAGUUUACAUUCUUAUGGGGAAAGACAGACAAUUGACCACAGUAAAUAAAAUAUAUAAUAUGUAAGUUGAUGAGAAGUGCUAUGGAGAAAAGCAAAGUAGUUAGAAAAGUUCUCACUGAUAAAAUUAUAUUUGAGCUCAGACUGGAAGGAGGUAAGGGAACAAAGCCUGGGGAUAAAAGGAGGUAAAAUAUUCGAGGCAGACAAAAGAAGCAGCAUAAAGGCCCUGAGGUAGGGAAAGGUUUGGCACAUUCAAACAUGUUCAGAGUAAAAUAGAUGAGAUAAGAUGUAGAAGAAGUGAGAUUUUCAAAAGGUAUCUAGGAAUCAUAUUAUGCAGGAUCUUGUAGGUUAUGUAUGUCAGUUACCUAUUUCUUCAUCACAAACUACCCCCAAGCCUAGUGGCAAUAACAACCGUUUAUUUUGCUUACAAAAUCUGCAAUUUAAGCAGGGAUUGGUGGAAAGAGCUUAUCUUUGCUCCACAUGGCAUCACAUGGAGCAGCUUGACGAGGGGCUGGAGCAUCUGCCUAAAUGAUAGCUUAGUCACAUCCUGGCAAGGUAGUGCUGGCUGUAAUCUGUGAUCUCGGCCAAAACUAUGGGUUAUAGACCUCAUUCCUACUCUUUAUUAUCUCUUUCUGGGUAUCUUGGGCUUCCUCACAGAUUGGUGGCUAGUUUCCAAGUGUGAGCUUCCCAAGAGAGCAAGGAAGAAAUGCAUGGCACCUGUGACCUAGCCUUGGAAGUCACAGAGCAUCACUUUCGAUAUACUCUACUGAUCAAGUCUGCCUAAAGGUCUGUGCAGGUUCAAUGGGAAGAGACAUAGACCCCAUUUCUUGAUGAGGAAAUGACAAAGCUCUAGAAAAUAUAUGAGGCAAAAGAUAUUAUGUGGCUAUCUUUGGAAAAUACAAUCUGUAACACCACAAUAACAGCUUUGAAAUUUACUGAGUGAAAUGGGUGCCCACUGUAGUGUUGUCAGCAGAGGAGUGACUUAAAUUUUCAACAGGUUGUUCAAUCUUUUUGUUGAAAAUAGAUUGUAGAGAGCAAGGGUUGAAACAGUCUCAACAGUAAAGAGGCUAUUGUUAUAAUGAGGUGAGAUGUGAAAGUGACUUGGACCAGAGUUGUAACAGUGGGGAUGGUGAGAAGUGGGGAGACUUUGAAUAUAUUCUGAAGGUAGAGUCAACAGGAUUUGCUGAGAGAUUAGGAGUGGGGUGUGUGAGAAAGAGAGGAGUCACGUAUAACUCCUUGACUCCCCUUCAGAGAGGAUAUCCCCUCCCUGCUAUAAAUGACUAGUUUUUAUUAGAUUUUGUCACCAUUAAAACAAUUCAAAAAUGAAUAAAAUACCAAAAUAAAACCUGUUUGAAUGCAGCAGAAAGUUCCCAAUGCAGCCAGGAUCUGGGGAUCCAACACGUCAAAGGGAAGGGAAACAUGUGAAAGCAAGCCCAACAUCUCAUGCUACUUUUUCCUUUGAGUCAUUUGCCAGUUUAUGAAUAGGGCAUGUCUGAGAGCUCAGAAGCUGAGCAGAAACAUGAGCCCAACUGUCAGAGAAGCUGGUCAAAGUUGUCAGGAAUCUCAAGGGGCUAAAGAGACAAAAACUGGAGUUCAAGGCUGUCAAUGUAGUCACGAGAAGAGGGAACAAGAUCCCAGACAGCAGAAAAGUGCAAAAAAAGGUACACCAAAAAAGUGAGCUAAACAUUUGGUGAUGCUUUUCCUUUUAGGAAGAUAGUUUCCAAAAGGCCUAGAGGCUGAGAAGAAAAAAACAAAAGUGACUGAGAGGCUAAGACGUUAAGGAGAGCUCUUAAAAAGUCUCAUAAUAUUCAUGAAGUCCAGAGCUUGCUAAGGAUGAUAGACCUUGAUAAACAACCUAGACUUGCAGUAAAUACCUGGUAGGGCUACACCUAGGAGUAAGAGAAACAGACUAGGAUUCCCAAAAAUUACAACUCAGCAUAGAAUCACCUUGAUACCAGACUAAAUUAGGAUGAUCUGCUUCUAUUCUAACUGCCUGCCAGAAGCAGAAAUACAUUCUCCACAUAUCAUGCAGAGCCUCUACAAUUUUUCAUAAACAAUAUUUAUAAUGUAAUCAAUAGUUGUCAGGUCCAGGUAUACUAAAGGACAAGAGUGAGAAAAAAACAGACAAUAUAAAUAGACCUAUAGGUGAUCAAGAUUAAAUUGAUCAAAAUAGACUUAAAAACACCUGGGUUUAGUGCAUUCAAGAUAAUUGAUGAUAAAGUAAAAAUUUCAGCAGAGGACUGAAAGCCAUUGAAAAAAAGUAGAAAAUCUGGAAUUAAAAUACAACAGAUUUAACAAAGAACUUCAAAGAUACAUUUAAUCAAAUACUAAAAAGAGAUAAACAAGAAUUAGUGAACUAAAAGACAAAUCAGAGAAAAAUGACCAGAGAGAGAGAGAGAGAAAGAGAGAGAGAGAAGAUAUAGCAAAGAAUGUAAGAGACAUAGUAUACGUGGUCAAAGGGUCUAAACUGUAUGUCAUUAGAUUCCUAAUGAGAAGAAUGAGAAAAAGAGAGAUUAUAGCAAAAAUAAUGGUGUUAAGUUUUCUAAAACUGACGAAAACCCUCAAACCACUGAUUCAAGAAAUACUAUGAAUUCAAAAGGAAUAUAAAGAAAACUACAGAGUCACAACAUAGUAAAACUACUGAAAUAAAACAAAACAACAGUAAGAAAAUGUUGAAAAAAUAGCCAGAGAUGGCCGGGAGUGGUGGCUCACGCCUGUAAUCCUAGCACUUUGGGAGGCCAAGGCAGGCAGAUCACCUGAGGCCAGGAGUUCCAGACCAGCCUGACCAACAUGGUGAAACCCCAUCACUACUAAAAAUACAAAAAAAAUUAGCUGGGCAUGGUGGUGUGCACCUGUAGUCCCAGCUACUCAGGAGUCUGAGGCAGAAGAAUCGCUUGAACCUGGGAGACAGAGGUUGCAGUGAGCCAAGAUUGUGCCACUGCACUCCAGUCUGGGCAACAGAGCGAGUCUCCAUCUCAAAAAAAAGAAAAAAGCCAGAGAUAAAGAAAACAAUAGCUAUAAAUAAGUUACCUUAGACAAUAAAACUAUAUCUGGUUUUUCAAUAGAAACAAUGUAAGCCAGAAGACAACGGAAUCACAUCUUUGCUAAAACAAAAUAACUGCCUACCUAGAACUCUAUACUUAGGGAAACAAUUCUUUACAAAUAACAAAGGUGAAAUAAAGAUAGUUUCAGACAAACUAAAGUGAUGUCAUAUUAGCUAUUAAACCCAUAUUUCCCCAAAUCAAAAUUCCUCAGUGUUAUAAUAGUAAUUGUAACCACUGUACAAUAUUUAUGGGAGAUUGAGAAGUAGAUUAUUUGUGUUGAGAAUAUGUCUAUUUUCAUUCUUUUGUUUCAUAAGGUCCUGUGCCAUGGAAGCCUUGAAUUCCAGUGCCCGUUACUUCUUCUGCUGCCAGUGGCUCCCAUUUGUGUUCUCUCCUGUGGCAUCGGAUUCGAUGCAGAAAUGGGAUACCUGUGUACUCAUCAGCUCCUAUUCCUCCAGCUCAACCAAAGUUCUUUUAACAGUAAAAACCAAUAUGCAAAGAAGAGGAGGAAGAGAUGGAACCAUCAAGCCCUUCUGGGCUCAGAAUAUGUGUGUGUGAGCGCACAUACACAGUUGGCUACCUUACUCAAGUUUCCCUAUAACUAGAAAAUCUUAGAUGAUCCCAAAGUUUUGUGGAUUACCCACUGAUUAUUACUGGCGCAAAAGGAAGCUCUUCGCCGGGCGCGGUGGCUCACGCCUGUAAUCCCAGCACUUCGGAAGUCCGAGGCGGGCGGAUCACGAGGAUCAGGAGAUCCAGACCAUCCUGACUAAUAUGGUGAAGCCCUAUCUCUACUAAAAAUACAAAAAAUUAGCCGGGCAUGGUGGCGGGCGCCUGUAGUCCCAGCUACUUGGGCGGCUGAGGCCGGGGAAUCGCUUGAACCCGGGAGGUGGAGGUUGCAGUGAGCCGAGAUCGCACCACUGCACUCCAGCCUGGGCGACAGAGUGAGACUCGUCUUAAAAAAAAAAAAAAAAAAAAAAAGGAAGUUCUUCAUUGUGUCAUUGUCUUUAUUUUGUAUCUGACCUCUUUUCUGAGCUCAGUUAUUAGAUCUAGUUAUUGUCGGUUGACUCUCUUGGGUUUUCCAGGUAGUGAAUUUUACCCUCUGCAAGUAAUGAUAGUUUAGUAUCACUAAGAGAUAUACCUUUUAUUUCUUUUGCUUACUUUUUUUCACUGGGUGUUCCUCCAGAAAAAUAUUGAAAAAUGAUAAGCAGGAUUAUAUUGCAAGUUUCUGUAUUUUUUAACAUUCAAAUAAUAAUGUUGGCUUUGAUUUGUGACAAAAAUGCUUUGUCAGAUAAUAUAAACAUCUUUCUAUCUCUAGUUUACUGAAAGAUUUAUAAUAAAGUGUUUAAUUUUUAUCAAAGGCACUUUUAACAUUUAUUAUAAUAAAAUAUGUUUUAUUAUUUUGUUUCUUUUGUUCUAUCAAUGUGGUAAAUUACAUACUAGAUUUCCUAGUGUUAAGCUAUCACUGCAAUUCUAAACUAAAUGGUGUUUUUCCAACACCUAAUAUUCUUUUCAAUGCUUUGGUGGACUUGCUAAUUUUUCUUAUGAUUUUGUAUCCUAGAAUCUUAUUUCUUCUUGUUACCUUUGUCAAGUUCUAGUAACAUGUUAUGCUAGCCACAAGUAAUAAAUAUACUUUAAUGUCCAGAGUUUUAUAUGCUAUAUAAUAGCUUCAUUAGCAUAAACAUAGUUUAUUAUAAAAAGAUUUUCUAAAAAAUUAUCAUAAGACCUAUGAGGGGAUGCACAAAAAGGGAGUAAUACUUUGACAACUUCGUUUAUUUCUUUUGUGACUAUUUGUUCCUUCAUUGUUGUUUUAACUUCUUCCUUUUUCUCUAUUUUUAAAAUGUAUAUAUUUCCUAG
rnacentral:lncRNA from 1 species